rnacentral:tRNA from 2 species
UCCUCAGUAGCUCAAUGGUAGAGCAAUCGGCUGUUAACCGAUUGGUCGUAGGUUCGAAUCCUACCUGGGGAG